CUUCUGCACUGUGCUGAUGCUGCUUUCAAUUAGUAGUAUAAAUAAUUCUUCCAGGAAUGUUUUUAAUUGUCUGAAUUUCUCCCUAAACACUUUAUUUUCUACUGUACAGUAUCAACAAUGGAUUAGGUUAUUACUUAGUAAGUGUGCAAUUAAGCUUAAAAUAGUCGUACAGAUAGUGAUGUGUAUUUAUAACUGUUAAUAUCAAUUCCCCAGUAAAAUGAAAGGGGCUGUCAAGGAGCUGAUAAUUAGUGCCUGCAGCUGAGGCCAAUUUCAUGCUAGCUUGAAAGAAUUUAGAGGCUGAGGGCUUUGACUUACAAUCAGGGAUAGCUUACAUUAGUUUUGCUAAUGAGGUUAUUGCUCUAUCUUUGCUGUGCAAAUAGGUGAAUGGUUUUGAAUUAAUUCCUGAGUCAUUUUACUUUAAAGCCUAUUCUUAUUUGUCUGCUUGCGCUGGGAGGAUAGCUGUUAAACUGUUCCAGAAUCAUGAAAUCUCUACAGUUCUACAGAGGCAGCAACACCGAGUUCGAUAUUCAGAAUCAGUGGAAAUUGGAUCUGUGAUUUUUUCUCUUUCUGAUUCCUGGGCAGCAAUUUACGUAUAAUACCAGUUCAUAAUACUGCUGAAACGGUUAAGUUAAUGCUAACUAUAGCUAAGCAUAGGCCAAGGGCACAAUACCACCCAACUAGUCUAGUCCUGAGCUAUCACACCAGCUUCUCUUGAAAUACUAUCAAGAUAAUCAGAAGCAAUGCUGAUGGAACCAGUUACUUCAGGACUGGUCUUGCAGUUAAAGGAAUACAUCCCAUCACCUCUGUGUACAUUAUUUCUAAACAUUUACUUCAGAAAACAGGAUUAAAAUUUCUUUAUGAUAAAUACAUUUGUACUAUUUGAAAAUUAAGAUAUUGAACAUUUGUUUAUCUAAAAAGAAUUGUUACCUACUUGUAAUAUUUUUCUUUCCUCUAAGAUGACUUCCAAGCCGUGUGCAGAUGCUAUUCGUUACAAAAUGGCAAUGACAAAAGCCCACAUAAUGGAAAACAGUCCAGUUUGGAAGAUGCUUCAGGAAUACCAGUUGCAUUGUAAUUAAUUCACUGGUGUUUUUAUUCAUAAAUAUAGCAGCUACAUUUUGAACAAAAUAUAGAAUGUUCUUAAAAUAUACCAUUCCAUUUAAAAGACUGUAUAUAGAACUUAUGCAUUUGGAACAAAGAAUUGUAUUAAAAUACCAUACAGUGAAAAACAGCAUACAUUAUACCCAAUGUAUGUUCUAACAAAAAAUUUAAAAUGCGGUUUAACUGCACUAAUAGAAAAACCAUCCUGAUAUUUGAUUCAGUUCUGAACUUAUACAUUCAUCUUUUUAUCAUAACUUCCCAAAAUAUGUUAUGUAUCUUAAGGAAAACUUUAUCAUUAGAAACAACAAUGAUCAAAACAAUUCCAAAAUACAUUUUCUUGUGCAUAAAUAGUUGUGUAUGAAGCCUGAAGCCUUACAGAGUACAUUUUUAAACACAAGUUAUCUGUUCUGUUACCAAGUUUUAAUGUCUUA